AGCGCUUUUCGGAGUGACUCGAGUGGCGAACGGGUGAGUAACACGUGGGUGAUCUGCCCUGCACUUUGGGAUAAGCCUGGGAAACUGGGUCUAAUACCGGAUAGGACUACGAAUCGCAUGGUUUGUGGUGGAAAGCUUUUGCGGUGUGGGAUGGGCCCGCGGCCUAUCAGCUUGUUGGUGGGGUGAUGGCCUACCAAGGCGACGACGGGUAGCCGGCCUGAGAGGGUGUCCGGCCACACUGGGACUGAGAUACGGCCCAGACUCCUACGGGAGGCAGCAGUGGGGAAUAUUGCACAAUGGGCGCAAGCCUGAUGCAGCGACGCCGCGUGAGGGAUGACGGCCUUCGGG
rnacentral:rRNA from 1 species